rnacentral:rRNA from 1 species
AGCAGCCGCGGUAAUUCCAGCUCCAAUAGCGUAUAUUAAAGUUGUUGCAGUUAAAAAGCUCGUAGUUGAAUUUCGGGAUCAAUAUAUUGGUCGUGCCUUCGGUAUGCACUGGUAUUAUUGAUUUCUACCUUCUGACGAACUAUGAUGUCAUUAAUUUGGUGUCAUGGGGAAUCAGGACUGUUACUUUGAAAAAUUGAGUGUUUAAAGCAGGCACACGCUUGAAUACAUUAGCAUGGAAUAAUGAAAUAGGACGUUUGACCCUAUUUUGUUGGUUUCUAGGAUCGACGUAAUGAUUAAUAGGGAUAGUUGGGGGCAUUAGUAUUCAAUUGUCAGAGGUGAAAUUCUUGGAUUUAUUGAAGACUAACUACUGCGAAAGCAUUUGCCAAGGAUGUUUUCAUUAAUCAAGAACGAAAGUUAGGGGAUCGAAGACGAUCAGAUACCGUCGUAGUCUUAACCAUAAACUAUGCCGACUAGGGAUCGGAUGAUGUUAAUUUUUAAUGACUCAUUCGGUACG